AGUUUAUUGCCCCAAUAAAUGCGGGCGGAUGGAGGUGCUGUGGAUCGAGUGCAUCUUCUGCAACCUCACGCGCUUCGCCUGCAACCGCGGCGUGGACUGCGGCGAGCGGCAGCUGUGGGUGGAGGAGGGGCAGGACCUGGUGCUGGACUGUGCCCUGCCCUGGCAC